AUUGAACGCUGGCGGCAUGCCUUACACAUGCAAGUCGAACGGCAGCGCGGGGCAACCUGGCGGCGAGUGGCGAACGGGUGAGUAACAUAUCGGAACAUACCCUAGAGUGGGGGAUAACGUAGCGAAAGUUACGCUAAUACCGCAUACGCACUAAGGUGGAAAGUGGGGGAUCUUCGGACCUCAUGCUCAUGGAGUGGCCGAUAUCUGAUUAGCUAGUUGGUGAGGUAAAGGCUCACCAAGGCGACGAUCAGUAGCUGGUUUGAGAGAACGACCAGCCACACUGGAACUGAGACACGGUCCAGACUCCUACGGGAGGCAGCAGUGGGGAAUUUUGGACAAUGGGGGCAACCCUGAUCCAGCAAUGCCGCGUGAGUGAAGAAGGCC
rnacentral:rRNA from 1 species